UACAAGAAAAAAGGUAUAUCACGACAGGCAAACUGCAGCGGUUGCAUUCUAGCCGUCGUCGCUUUUCCCUUUUGUGGCAGUUACUGUAGCAGUUCCUUUCCGCCGUCGCAUUUUUCCCCUUUUGCAUCUUAUCUCUUUAAUCUACCCAAACCCAAACACUUCAUUAACCCAAAUCCCUAAUCGAUUUCAGUUUUCCUUCUCGUCUCAGAUCUGUACUCUUCGAACCCAAAUCGAUUUCAGUUCGUCAAACCCAAAUCACUUCAUGCCUCAGAUCUUCGAUUUCUCUCUUCACACACCUUGAAUCCCUAAUAAAUUUCGAAAUUUCCCUAUCUCACGGAAUGCUUAACUUCGAAAUUUCGAUUCAUUAUGUCUUCUCAACGCUCUCUGCUUUCUCUGAUUUUGUUUUCAUUGUAAACAGUGAGUUGGUUGAUUUCAUUGUGAUUUUGUGCAUAUACGUAGUUAUUCGAACCACCUAUAUGUGGGGUUUUCUAUGAUUGCUUGAUUUCUAACAGUUGCAUUUUGUUUGUACUAACUUUUGUUUGAAUUUGUCACUUUGUUCUUAUAUUGGUGUUUACUAUUUUUUGCUUUUGUUUCUAGCUGUGUAACAAGAUUUCUAAACCCCUAUUUAUGUUGUUUCUAAACCUGCAUCGGUUAAUUGCUAAAGCAGUUUAUGUAAUAUUUAUGAACAUCUAUGAACUCUGAUUUUGAUGUGUUUGUUGGAGUGAAUUUGAAUUAGGGGUUGAAUCAUGAUGAUGGAGUGUUGUGUUUGGGAUUACACCUUUUCAGUUUCUCCAAAUGAAAGAUUUUUAUAAGUUUGGUGUGUGUAUUGCAAAAAGUGAUUGUUUAUAGUUCCAGUCACCAUGGCAUUGUUCCUCUUUGUAUAUGCUCCUUAUUAGAUUCUUAAUAGUUUUAAAUGAAUUUUCACUUUGAAUUUGAAAAAUUUGACAAGAUUGCUGCAUGUUAAGUUGAGACAGCUUUAUGCAAGAUUUGCUUCAAAUUUUGGGACUGAUUCUUAGAAGAGUGAUUCUGGCAAGAGGAACCCCAACAACCAAAUGCUUGGAAGGCCUGUGAAUUGCAAUGGAGGCUUGCAAUAGCUUUGCAGUAACUUAUGUUCCAUUAGAUGGCACUCUUGGUCCUUAUGCUGUGGAGUUUAUCAUAAACCAUGCUGAAGUUUCAAUUGCAUUUCUACAAGAAAAUAAGAUCCCAUCAGUAUGUGCUAGUUCUUUCUUUGAGCUUAAUGUUUUGUUUUCACUAUUGAAAUAUGAAAUGUCUUCCACAUUUAAUUGUUCUACCGUUUAAAUCUUCUGAGAUAGAAAUAAGCAUCUAUCUUUUUAUUUCUUCCUAAACUUAUUUUCAUAGAUUUUGUCAUGUCUUGAUCACUAUUCUUUAAAUCUCAAAAGUAGGUCAAGCAUUAUUGUCUUAUUUACUCACAGUCCAGAUUUUGUCAUGUCUUGCUUUACCUGAAUCAUCUUUGAACUUUUCUCGCUAUGACGGUAUCAGGUCAGUGGUUGACUCCCCAUGUAACCCCCCCCCCCUCUCUCUCUCUCCCUCCAUAUACACACACAACUGAACACAGUGUUUUGUAAUGUUCUUAUUUUCAUUGAUAAAUAAUUUUGUUUGGCUUGGAUCCAUUUUAUCUAUUCUAGAUAUGGAAACAAGUUUACGUUGAUUAGUUGGACUCUCUCUUUGUAGAUUCCUAAGCCAGAGGGUUAAGCUCUGAGGACACUCCUUUCAAUCUUAAUUUCAAAUUUGGCUGGAAGAAUUUUGGUAGCCUUACGUAUUAUACAAAUGCCUAUACAAAAGAAAUGAUCUAAUUUGCUUAAAAAUGAAAGUCCAAUUUGACACGGGUUGCUAAUAUUUAGUUGGCUUUCUAUUUUAUUUCAUUUUCAGGUGACAACGAGAGGUUUGGGAUCUAUAAGAAGACGUUUUAUGUGAGUUAAUGUGUUACAAGCAAUAACCGCUACAAGUAAUAGCUUUAAGGAGGCACUGAAUCAAAAUAAUAUCUUCAUUUCCCUUCAGCUGCUAAUAAAAUUGGUAGAAAGAAAACUGAUCUUUUGGCUAAAUAUGUUGGUGACUUCAUGACUAUAAGUAUUUUUCAUUUUUCUUAUUGGCUAGAUUUUUAUCUCAUACUUCUGAUUUUAUGUGAACUGGUAUUCAACUUCACCAACAAAUAUGAGGUGCUCGUGAUAUUGUCACAAAGCUAGUAGUCAUGGAGUUGCAUAUGGGAAAUGAAGCAGGUCAUGGAGAUGCAUAUUUUUAAUUUUAGUGUUUACCAAAGAAGAAUAGAUACUUAGAUAUCAUAAUUUUGCUGUGUUUGUUAUUAAGUUUGAACCAUUAGCAAACUUAGUAUUUUGAUACUUAAGUAGUCAUUCAUAUAGAUUGUUAUACUGAAUUUUUGCACUAUGUAUGUAAAGCUACCGGAGCUCAUUUGUAUUCGAAUUUAAUGUAUGAAAUUCCAUUUAAAUUUGAAUCGUUAUUUUAUUUUGAA